GACGAACGCUGGCGGCGUGCUUAACACAUGCAAGUCGAACGGAAAGGCCCCUUUGGGGGUACUCGAGUGGCGAACGGGUGAGUAACACGUGAGUAACCUGCCCUUGACUUCGGGAUAACUUCAGGAAACUGGGGCUAAUACCGGAUAGGAAUCCUUGCUGCAUGGUGGGGGUUGGAAAGCUUCGGCGGUUUUGGAUGGACUCGCGGCUUAUCAGCUUGUUGGUGGGGUAGUGGCUUACCAAGGCUUUGACGGGUAGCCGGCCUGAGAGGGCGACCGGCCACAUUGGGACUGGGAUACGGCCCAGACUCCUACGGGAGGCAGCAGUGGGGAAUAUUGCACAAUGGGCGGAAGCCUGAUGCAGCAACGCCGCGGGCGGGAGGACGGCCUUCGGGUUGUAAACCGCUUUCAGCAGGGGCGAAGCUUGUGGUGACGGUACCUGCAGAAGAAGCACCGGCUAACUACGUG
rnacentral:rRNA from 1 species